rfam:Pachysolen tannophilus NRRL Y-2460 unplaced genomic scaffold PACTA_scaffold_10, whole genome shotgun sequence.
GAGAAUUUAGUUAAAUUGGUAUAACAUUUGUUUUACACACAAAAGUGUAAAGGUUCAAAUCCUUUAAUUCUCA